UGCCCAGCAACUCCUAUCCCUACCUCCUCGUGGUACUGGCCGGGGUACGAAUAACCUUGGGGAAGAUCGGGUAACCAACCCCCGGUGGGAACUUUGGUCGUAUGCUGACAGGGAAGG
rnacentral:ribozyme from 1 species